rnacentral:lncRNA from 1 species
UUAAGGUUGUAAAAGUAUAAAUUUCUUUUAUUGGAUCGAUCAUGCAGGAGAUUAUCGUUUGGUGAUUGCGAUGAUCUUCUUUUUAUUAUUUAUGAGUUGUGUACGAACUUUGUAAAUAUAUUUUGCCACGAAAUCGCCAAAGGGGGAGAUUGUUAAGGAUUUUAUAGGUUGGCGGAUUUCGUAAUGUUGAAUGGAGUCUUGAAGAGUUGAUUGCAGACGAUUGAAGAAAAGAUCUAAAGUGAAGGAAAAAG